UAAUUCCCUCGAACAGCAUAUCGCCAGGCCAUCCUCCACACCUUUUUUCAUCUUUCCUCCUGGCAUAGUUGUUUAUUCUCUCUGAUACUUCUAUCAGAAAUAUUAUCCACGUGAAGCCGACAAUGCAAUCUCUCUUAAUUAGCAAAAAGAAAUUGCACAUCUUUCUUUGAGGCCUUUUGGUAUUUGAAGCAGGCUCUCUCUUUCUCUCCUGCAAAUCACUGAAUCACUCGCUCUUUUCUAGCUCAACUCUGCAGACAUACACACCCGCACACGCACACGUGCGCACACACAGGUUACAAAAUGAAAAUGAAGCUUCUUGUGUGGUUGUUUUUCAUAGUGUCUGCUCAAACCAUUCUGAUCUUGGCUGUUGAAUGCUUCUCCAUGCCAUCCAACUCUACUGACAAUACACAAGGACCGAAAGUUCCAGCAAGUUAUGCAGGUUUGAACAAGACCAGUAAAUCUUCAGAAAACGCUGAUGGGAGGCUGGUGAAUUCCGUUAUGAGAAAAUCAAAAGGGAAGGGAUCUUUUGGUGGUGCAAAUGCUGUCCAUCGACCACCACGUAGUAAAAAUGCAGCAUUGUCCUCCGCUGCACCUUCUUUCUUAGUAUUCUGGGUGAUGUUGGCAACUUUCGGCUUGAUCUGUCCUCGUCACUUUUAAGGGGCUCACUAUGCUUAUCAUAAACUUUAAUUUGGGACCGUAUCUGUUCUCAGCCUUGCAUUUGUGCUUGUCAAUAUUGCCUUCUUCGGGAAUUUGGCUGUCGUUAUAGUCUAGUGAAGUUUUGGCGGUUGGUUGUUUGUGUGAUGAGCAGAACUUUAUGGGAAACAAAUCUUGGUUCUUAACCUUGAUGAUUUAAUUU